rnacentral:rRNA from 1 species
GAUGAACGCUGGCGGCGUGYUUAACACAUGCAAGUCGAACGGGGAACAAAUUAUUGAAGCUUCGGCAGAUCUAGCUUGUUCCUAGUGGCGGACGGGUGAGUAACGCGUGGGUAACCUGCCUCACACUGGGGGAUAACAGUCAGAAAUGGCUGCUAAUACCGCAUAAGCGCACAGUACCGCAUGGUACAGUGUGAAAAACUCCGGUGGUGUGAGAUGGACCCGCGUUGGAUUAGCUAGUUGGCAGGGCAGCGGCCUACCAAGGCGACGAUCCAUAGCCGGCCUGAGAGGGUGAACGGCCACAUUGGGACUGAGACACGGCCCAGACUCCUACGGGAGGCAGCAGUGGGGAAUAUUGCACAAUGGGGGAAACCCUGAUGCAGCGACGCCGCGUGAAGGAAGAAAUAUCUCGGUAUGUAAACUUCUAUCAGCAGGGAAGAACAUGACGGUACCUKACAAGAGCCCCRAAAMMCUG